rnacentral:rRNA from 1 species
CCUACGGGAGGCAGCAGUGGGGAAUAUUGGGCAAUGGGCGCAAGCCUGACCCAGCAACGCCGCGUGAAGGAAGAAGGCUUUCGGGUUGUAAACUUCUUUUAUGAGGGAAGAGCAGAAGACGGUACCUCUUGAAUAAGCCACGGCUAACUACGGGCCAGCAGCCACGGUAAUACGUAGGUGGCAAGCGUUGUCUGGAUUUACUGGGUGUAAAGGGCGUGUAGCCGGGCUGACAAGUCAGAUGUGAAAUCCGGGGUCUCAACCCCCGAACUGCAUUUGAAACUGUUGGUCUUGAGUAUCGGAGAGGCGGGCGGAAUUCCUAGUGUAGCGGUGAAAUGCGUAGAUAUAAGGAGGAACACCAGUGGCGAAGGCGGCCUGCUGGACGACAACUGACGGUGAGGCGCGAAAGCGUGGGGAGCAAACAGGAUUAGAUACCCGGGUAGUC